UGGGCUUGACAUGCAGGGGAAAGCUGGGGGAAACCUCGGCCCUCCUUCGGGACUCCUGUACAGGUGCUGCAUGGCUGUCGUCAGCUCGUGUCGUGAGAUGUUGGGUUAAGUCCCGCAACGAGCGCAACCCUUGUCACUAGUUACCAGCGGGUAAAGCCGGGAACUCUAGUGAGACUGCCGGUGCCAAACCGGAGGAAGGUGGGGAUGACGUCC
rnacentral:misc_RNA from 1 species